UGAUCAUGAGGUUGAUACGUGAGAAAACGCGCGACAACAGAAAUGAAAAUUAGAAAUGGGAACUUACUUGCAAAAUAUCGUGCUUGCUGGAACAAAGAACGGCCUGUAUGAUACUUUGACUCAUCAACACCGUCAGGGCGAGACACACGACGAACAGUUUCGUUUUGCUGCUGUGCGAUGAAAGUGGCCAGCAGAACGUCAAAGCUACGCUUAGCCGAACGACGUCGAUGGCUUUUUCCAGUGUCACUUGUCUCAACAUGAUCUUAAACUGUUUCGAGUUCCAACUCGGACAAAACGGAAUCUAACUCACGUAGAUAAGCAGAGCAAUAUACGGAGUAUUAAUUUC